rnacentral:rRNA from 1 species
GUUUGAUUCUGGCUCAGGAUGAACGCUGGCGGCAUGCCUAAUACAUGCAAGUCGAACGGAGUGAAGCCUUCGGGUUUCAUUCAGUGGCGAACGGGUGAGUAAUACGCAGGGAACCUGGCCAUGGCAGGGGGAUACACUCUGGAAACGGAGCAUAAGACCCCAUAGGCAGUAAGGCGGCAUCGCCUUACUGUUAAAGAAAGCUGAAAGGCUUUGGCGAUGGAUGGACCUGCGGUGCAUUAGCUUGUUGGUGAGGCAACGGCUUACCAAGGCGAUGAUGCAUAGCCGGCCUGAGAGGGCGGACGGCCACACUGGGACUGAGACACGGCCCAGACUCCUGCGGGAGGCAGCAGUAGGGAAUUUUCGUCAAUGGGCGCAAGCCUGAACGAGCAAUGCCGCGUGAGUGAGGAAGGUCUUCGGACUGUAAAGCUCUGUUGCCGGGGAAAAAGGGGAAAUGCAGGAAAUGGCAUUUCAUGGAUGGUACCCGGCCAGAAAGCCACGGCUAACUACGUGCCAGCAGCCGCGGUAAUACGUAGGUGGCGAGCGUUAUCCGGAAUGAUUGGGCGUAAAGGGUGCGCAGGCGGUCUGUUAAGUCUGAAGGCAAAGGGAUGAGCUCAACUCAUUUAUGAUUCAGAAACUGGCAGACUUGAGGACAGGAGAGGGCGGUGGAACUCCAUGUGUAGCGGUAAAAUGCGCAGAGAUAUGGAAGAACACCAGUGGCGAAGGCGGCCGCCUGGCCUGUGACUGACGCUGAGGCACGAAAGCGUGGGGAGCAAAUAGGAUUAGAUACCCUAGUAGUCCACGCCGUAAACGAUGAGGAGCAGGUGUUGGGAGUGAAAUCUCAGUGCCGAAGCCAACGCAGUGACUCCUCCGCCUGGGGAGUAUGCACGCAAGUGUGAAACUCAAAGGAAUUGACGGGGGCCCGCACAAGCGGUGGAGUAUGUGGUUUAAUUCGAAGCAACGCGAAGAACCUUACCAGGUUUUGACAUCGGAUGCGAAGGCGCAGAGAUGCGCUGGAGGCUAUCAUCCAGACAGGUGGUGCAUGGUUGUCGUCAGCUCGUGUCGUGAGAUGUUCAGUUAAGUCUGGCAACGAGCGCAACCCCCGUGGUAUGUUACUAACGCAUUUGGGCGAGGACUCAUAUCAGACUGCCGGUGACAAACCGGAGGAAGGCGGGGAUGACGUCAAAUCAUCAUGCCCCUUAUGACCUGGGCUACACACGUACUACAAUGGCGUCUACAGAGGGAAGCGACCCUGAGAAGGGAAGCGAAACCGGAAAAGGGCGUCCCAGUUCGGAUUGAAGUCUGCAACCCGACUUCAUGAAGAUGGAAUCGCUAGUAAUCGCGGAUCAGCAUGCCGCGGUGAAUACGUUCCCGGGCCUUGUACACACCGCCCGUCAAACCAUGGAAGCCGGCAACGCCCGAAGCCGGUGGCAUAACCUUUUAGGAGUGAGCCGUCGAAGGCGGGGCCGAUGACUGGGGUUAAGUCGUAACAAGGUACCC